rnacentral:rRNA from 1 species
UACGUAGGGGGCGAGCGUUGUCCGGAUUUAUUGGGCGUAAAGAGCGUGUAGGCGGCCAGGUAGGUCUGCUGUGAAAACUCGAGGCUCAACCUCGAGACGUCGGCGGAAACCAUCUGGCUAGAGUCCGGAAGAGGAGAGUGGAAUUCCUGGUGUAGCGGUGAAAUGCGCAGAUAUCAGGAGGAACACCGAUGGCGAAGGCAGCACUCUGGGACGUGACUGACGCUGAGACGCGAAAGCGUGGGGAGCAAACAGG